UUCCAGCUCCAAUAGCGUAUAUUAAAGUUGUUGCAGUUAAAAAGCUCGUAGUUGAAUUUCGGGGUUAGUAGGCUGGUCAUGCCUCCGGUAUGUACUGGUCUCACUGAUUCCUCCUUCCUGAUGAACCGUAAUGCCAUUAAUUUGGUGUUGCGGGGAAUCUGGACUGUUACUUUGAAAAAAUUAGAGUGUUUAAAGCAAGCUAACGCUUGAAUACAUUAGCAUGGAAUAAUGAAAUAGGACGUUCGAUCUUAUUUUGUUGGUUUCUAGGAUUGACGUAAUGAUUAAUAGGGAUAGUUGGGGGCAUUAGUAUUCAAUUGUCAGAGGUGAAAUUCUUGGAUUUAUUGAAGACUAACUACUGCGAAAGCAUUUGCCAAGGAUGUUUUCAUUAAUCAAGAACGAAAGUUAGGGGAUCGAAGACGAUCAGAUACCGUCGUAGUCUUAACCAUAAACUAUGCCGACUAGGGAUCGG
rnacentral:rRNA from 1 species